GACGAACGCUGGCGGCGUGCUUAACACAUGCAAGUCGAACGGAAAGGCCCUGCUUUUGGGGGGGGCUCGAGGGGCGAACGGGUGAGUAACACGGGAGUAACCUGCCCCUGGCUUUGGGAUAACUUCAGGAAACUGGGGCUAAUACCGGAUAGGAGCUCCUGCUUCAUGGGGGGGGUUGGAAAGUUUCGGCGGUUGGGGAUGGACUCGCGGCUUAUCAGCUUGUUGGUGGGGUAGUGGCUUACCAAGGCUUUGACGGGUAGCCGGCCUGAGAGGGUGACCGGCCACAUUGGGACUGAGAUACGGCCCAGACUCCUACGGGAGGCAGCAGUGGGGAAUAUUGCACAAUGGGCGGAAGCCUGAUGCAGCAACGCCGCGUGCGGGAUGACGGCCUUCGGGUUGUAAACCGCUUUCGCCUGUGACGAAGCGUGAGUGACGGUAAUGGGUAAAGAAGCACCGGCUAACUACGUG
rnacentral:rRNA from 1 species